UGACAGAAUCUAAGCCAGCAAAAGGAAAGGAACUCAUAAUAAAAGCUCUGAGUUCAGCAAGAUGCUUUCAGGGUAUUGAUUUGAUUGUUUAUAGCAGCUUGCCUACUGUUACAGCACUAGGAACACACUCUUUUUGUUCCAUCAACAGCAGCCGAAGAAGCAGAAGAAGGAGGAAGAAGAGGAGGAGUUCUUUCCAAAUGCGGUCUGUGCAGAGUUGUCCUCCAGCGUCUGGUAAGGUGUUAGAAUUCUGCCAUGGAGUAUCUAGUCUUUGAGAACCUCCCUGGUUUUUCUACUGUGCAUUCACAAAAGAAAUGUGAGUAUUGUUUCUAAUGAAAGAUCCUUCAAUUCUUUGCCUGCAAAACUGGGCACAAAUCUCCAGAGAUAUCAUGAAGAAGCUCUAUGAAGAGUGGAGGAUGGAGAUGCUGCAAGCAGCGAAUGUGAAAUGUUGGGAAGAAAGAAAGCUAUUGAAAACAAAAUGCCUACUAAAAGAUCUCAGGGAAGGAUACUGUCUCCUUUUCAAAUCCUUAUCCUUUGUGCAGUGCUGCCCUCAGAAUCAACAUAGUGAAAUUUGA
rnacentral:lncRNA from 1 species